UACGGAGGGUGCAAGCGUUAUCCGGAAUCAUUGGGCGUAAAGGGCCCGUAGGUGGCUAUCUAAGUCGGCUGUCAAAGCGUCUGGCUCAACCAGAUAAAGGCAGUGGAAACUACAUAGCUAGAGUAAGGUAGGGGUAGAGGGAAUUCCUGGUGUAGCGGUGAAAUGCGUAGAGAUCAGGAAGAACACCGGUGGCGAAAGCGCUCUGCUAGGCCGCAACUGACACUGAGGGACGAAAGCUAGGGGAGCGAAUGGG
rnacentral:rRNA from 1 species